rnacentral:lncRNA from 1 species
ACAGCGGUAUGGAGGUUUCCAGGUUAGGGGUCAAAACCGAGCUGUAGUCGCCGGCCUACACCAGAGCCACAGCAAGGGGGGAUCCGGGCUGCGUCUGCGACCUACACGACAGCUCACGGCAACGCCGGAUCCCAAACCCACUGAGCAAGGCCAGGGACCGAACCUUCAACCUCAUGGUUCCUAGUCAGAUUCGUUCACCACUGCGCCACCACUGGAACUCCGGUAUCGUUUCUUAAGAGAUGCCUUGCUUUCCUGGGAGUGUUCUUUGCCAGAGACAAUUGCAAAGAAGAGGAAAGACUAAACCCUGGCCUCUUGUCAUUAGAGCCCCAGGUCGGCCUUCUCAAGCCUCAGCCCUUCCCCAGGAUGGGGAAGACAAGACCAAGUUUCAGAUGGGUGGAGUUUUUUCUCCAGAAAUAACAGCUUAAGACAUCAGAGAGUCAACGUACCUCCCUCCCUUGGAAAAAGAAAAAAGAAAAAAAAUUGAUUGGGCAAGCUCCUCACAUAACUCAGUGCAUUUAUCUCCCAGUAGUGACGAGAGAGGUCGGAUGAUCCUGUCUGAGAGAUGAAGAAAUGCAUGUAAAUCCUAGGUUUGAACCCAGGUCAGUAGGAACCUGUCGUUUGCCUUUUUGCUCUGCAUGCAAUAGUUUCAAGGAACUGAGCCCAUAUAAUGUAGAGAGGUGACUCUCCAGAUAAUGAAGGCUUCUUCUCUGCCGAGGUUUUUCUCCUCCGUGGCGUAUUUCUCCCUCUUCAUUUCCGGAUGUUGUAUUCUCCAUGUAACACACUUUACCAAAACCUACACCUUGAACAAAGUCAAAGGUUAGCGUAUUGGGUGAAAGAACACAGGGGUUGGGGAGUUCCCACUGUGGCACAGUGGGUUAAGAAUCCAACUGCAGCACCUUGGGUCGCUCUGGAGGUGCAGGUUUGAUCCCCGGGCUGGUGCAGUGGGUUAAAGCCUCUGGUGUCGCCGCAGCUGUGGCUCAGAUUCAAUCCCUGGCCCAGGAACUUCCAUAUGCCGUGGGUGCAGCCAUAAAAACAACUAAAAACAGGUUGGGAAUAAAGACAAAGCAUUCGUGUUCAAGAAGAGAGAAAAGAGGAGAAACAAAUGACCAAUCAUCCUAUGAAAAGAUGAUCAACGUGGAGGAAUCAAAGUGAUGCAGGUUGAAACAAGAUACGAUUCUUUUUCUAUGGAGAUGACCUGAAAUUUGAAAGAUCCGUGGUCCCUGUUAGCUGACAUAUAGGGAAACAGGUAUAUCCACACAAUUGCAGGGGCAUUUCAGCCUUUCUAAAAGUUCUGCACUCCUCCGCUCCAGUAUUUCCCACUUCAAGUUUAUUCUGCGUCAGAGCAAGUGGUCAAGGAAUGAUCAUUGCAGCAUUGUUCAUUAUAGCAAAAAAAGAAAAAGAAAAA